GGAGUGGAGUAGUGCAGAUAAUUCUGUUUUGAGGGGCUUGGGGGAUUUUUUUUUUCUUAAUUUCAGGAUAAAUGGAGUUUUUGUACAUGGUAUUCCUUCUUUAGCGCACUGUGGUUAAGCUUCCAGCACCCAACAGAGCCCUGAAAUUGCUUUUGCCAGGUGAACACUGACCCAGUUUCCAAAUCCAGUGCACCUUUUCUCCCUCAUUGCUGUUUUUCUGGAGCUCUCUGCUGCAUCUGACACUAUUAGAACUUCUCUGCUUCUGAAGCUGUUUAGUCUCUUCUUUCUAGAAUAGGGCUCUCCUAAUGUCCCAGGUCUCCUAAUGUCAACCAGCACAUCCCCACAGGCUCCUCUUCCUUUGACUGCAUCUUAGGUUUUGUUGGUGUCCCCACGUUGUGUCUUUGGCUCUUGCCCUUUUGUAUAUGCACUGGGGCAUCUCAGCCACUCUGCCUGUUUUGUUUCUUUGACUAUAAUCCAAAGAUUGGGGUCUUAAGUGAACAUCUUUCUAAUCUUAGUACCUGUCUCCUUGGUAUUGCCAUCAGGAUAGUCCACAGCUUCACAAAUUUUACAUAUCCAAGAAGAAACUCCAUUCUUUCCUUCUGAAGUAAUUCUUCUGGAUCCACCCCCUUCUCAUUUAUUGAAACACUAUCUACUCAGUUCUUGGAGCUGGAAACCUAGUAGUUCUCCAGGAUCUUUCUUCCUCAAUUAUUCCCUUCAAAUUACUCAUGAAGGCCUCUCAAUUUUAUUUGCAAUUUCAUAAAUUAAUUUCGUUAUUCCAAAACGACUGCCUUUUUUCCUCCAGUACUGCUGCAGAGAGGAGAGUGAGUAUAUCUGGGAUGCAGAGAAAUUGACACUAUCCAGCCCAGUGACUUCAUUUUGUAUGUCAUGUUAGUAAUUCAGAACUUAUCAGUUGUAUGGGCACAUAUUAAACACAAAUAAUUUGUGUUAUCUUCUGGCCCUGACAUUUCUGGGAUCAUUCUAUAUUUUUUAUCCUCACCUAUCCGUGUGCUAUUUCUUGAUUUCCCGACUGGCCUGGACGCCCUAGAAUUCUCUGUGCUGCUCUAAACUUUGAAAGAUUUGAGUCUUUUCAGAGCUGCAUGACAUCUCCUGUAGGGAGUGUUCUCCACCUUUCUUUCACGUGUGUCGUGCCCUAUAUUUGAGUGACAAGCAGAGGCCUCUAGUAUGUUGAGGAAACCAGCAGUUUCUAGGUUGUCCAGAGCUUAGGCUGGAAUUGGGGAUAGUUUCAGUUUAUCUCUGGGUUAUUCAGGAAACACAGCUGUCUAGCUGGCCCUCAGGCUCUAGCUCCAUGUCAAGGCUUCCCUCCAGCUCCAUCCGUGGGAGGAGGGAGCUUACAGCACUUUAAGGAAGGUUGCUUUUUGGUCCUUAUCUGUUGUUCUCUCUCUCUAUCCUUUCCCAUAUUUGUCAGAGAGUAAUUCCUUCCCCAUUCAUUCCUGCAAGGGUUUCUGUAUCCCUUCAGCACCCCCAGUGCCCAUCCCUAAGGAGACAUCUUUGUAAAUAUGUCAUUUAUUUUUGUUCUCCUCUUUCUGUCAUCAAGGAUUUGAAGUAUUACACAGCUGUAAGACCUGACAAAUUAUUAAAUUUCACUUAUUUUUUAGGUAGGAUUUUUUUUUAAUAGGAAAAAGAUGUAUUUUUUUUUUAAUUAUUAUUAUUUCCUUUUUAGGACCGCACCUCUGGCAUAUGGAAGUUCCUGGGCUAGGGGUCAAAUUGGAGCUUCAGCUUCUGGCCUACACCACAGCCACAGCAAUGCGGGAUCUGAGCCACAUGUAGCUUGUGGCAGCGCCAGAUCCUUAACCCACCAAGUGAUGCUAGGGAUGUUGGGUUCUUAACCUGCUGAGCCACAGCUGCAAUUCCAGUAGAUGUGCUUCUGGUUGUCUACUCUACCCUCUAGGG
rnacentral:lncRNA from 1 species